CGGCAUGCCUUACACAUGCAAGUCGAACGGCAGCACGGGAGCAAUCCUGGUGGCGAGUGGCGAACGGGUGAGUAAUAUAUCGGAACGUGCCCAGUCGUGGGGGAUAACGUAGCGAAAGCUACGCUAAUACCGCAUACGAUCUAUGGAUGAAAGCGGGGGAUCGCAAGACCUCGCGCGAUUGGAGCGGCCGAUAUCAGAUUAGGUAGUUGGUGAGGUAAAGGCUCACCAAGCCGGCGAUCUGUAGCUGGUCUGAGAGGACGACCAGCCACACUGGGACUGAGACACGGCCCAGACUCCUACGGGAGGCAGCAGUGGGGAAUUUUGGACAAUGGGCGCAAGCCUGAUCCAGCAAUGCCGCGUGCAGGAAGAAGCAUCUAUGGUGUGUAAACUGCUUUUGUACGGGAAGAAACACUCCUACGUGUAGGAGCUUGACGGUACCGUAAGAAUAAGCACCGGCUAACUACGUG
rnacentral:rRNA from 1 species